rnacentral:lncRNA from 1 species
UUCUUCUCUUUUUAAUCUAUUUUCUUUUUUCUAACAUUUUAGCCUAUCAAAUGACAUAUGACGCAUGUAUACUGACUGAACUUAUUUUGGCUCAGGUGCAGUUACUGCUAAGAUUUAUUUAUGAACUACAUGUGUGAACUAUUCAACCUAUUUGGUUGAGAUACGUGAACAUGAACUAUAUAUAUAUAAACUUAUUGCGUGAACCGUAACUGGAUGUAUAUGGCUAUGAACCGGUGCCAUUUUGUGUUGCUCUAACAUAGUAAUAUUUGUGCAAAAAUAUAUUGUGGCAUGUCACUUGGUGUGGCUGCAAAGUUCAUGUGAAAACAUGUUAUGAAAUACUGUUCAACUGGAGCAAAAGGAAGGCGGUGCAUCGUUCAGGGGCUAAGAUGGUCAUUUCAGAUGCCCAACACGGCAAAAAGAAAAGGGAACCGAUAUAAAAAGGUGGAAAUGUCAGCAAAUCAAGCAACCUUAUGUUUUAGGUGUCAAAUGUGCGAAACCACAUGUUAGGGAUGUCAAUAGAGCAAAUUUCUCAAGUGCAAGGUCCACCAUCUUCCAAGCAUAGCCUCAGAGUACUCUUCUAAUUAUUCACUCUAUUAUUAUUUUAGAAUGUGAUCAAAAUUAAACUAUGUGUUAAUAUGAUAAUGAUUCAAGAAAUUUGUUCUUUUCAUCACAUUGAUAAAUAUCUAUAUCAGUAAUUUAAAAAAUGAAUUCUAACAAGAAAUUAUUUUGCUUUAUAGCAUGUUGUUUAUAAAAUAGAAGCUUGAUGUGCUAUAUAUUUGUAGAUAAGAAUGAAAAGGUUUCUCAAAAGGGUUGAUUCAAGACUAAUGGUUUGCUAUUUAAAUUGCCAUCACAUAUUUACCAUACAUGUAGUUUCGACAAUUUGCCACUCGAUCGAAACAUUGGCUUCACCAAAAUAAUACUUAAAAGGUUGGUUCUUUCAUAUUUUGACAAAUAAGUCCUUUUGUAUAUACUUAGAUGUCUCGCUCUCAAUUUUCUUAGCAUCACUGAAAAUUAGCAUCACCUCCUGCAGUGGUAGGAGUGAUGCCCAUCUCUUUAUUAUGAAAGACCAAGUUGGCCUGUUCCGCCAUACAUAAGUACCCCCUUUUUUGGCUGAGUAGGAUUCGACAAUGGGCCUGAGUCAGUGAUUCGAAAACUUCAU